UACGAAGGGGGCUAGCGUUGCUCGGAAUCACUGGGCGUAAAGCGCACGUAGGCGGUUCGUUAAGUCAUGUGUGAAAUCCCCGGCUCAACCGGGAAUUGCGCCUGAUACUGGCGGCUAGAGAUCGAUAGGGGUGAGUGGAACUCCAGGUGGAGCGGUGAAAUGCGUAGAUAUCUGGAGGAACACCGGUGGCGAAAGCGGCUCACUGGAUCGAUACUGACGCUGAGGUGCGAAAGCUAGGGUAGCAAACGGG
rnacentral:rRNA from 1 species